CUCCUGGCUUCAAGCAAUCUGCCCAACUUGGCUCCCCAAAAUGCUGGAAUUACAGGCAUAACCCACCACGCCUCGCUGAAAAAAAGAGCUUUCAAAAGUUCAUAUAACAACCACGAAUGGUUACAAACGAGGAAGCUGAGACCCAGAGAGGUGGAGCCACUUGUCCUGAGACACACAGCAUAUAAGGAGUGGAGGCUGGGAAAAAUGAAAGGUGUUCCAGAAGACACUUAACCAGUCAGCUGGAGCCAGACGGAACCUGAAUGAGCCUUCAACAUCUUAAUUGUAAUGAAUAUCUUCUUCAUGCUGUUAAAAUAGCAAUGAAUCCAUCUUAAUAAUAUGUGAAUUAUAAUACUGACGAUCAUAUGCGGUCCUUCCUGUUACCACUCCUUCCCUGGCUUACACACAGGGAAGCUGAGGCAGAGAGAGGGGUUGGGAAUUGCCCAAGGUCAGGCAAUGUUAGGCUUUGGGGGUUUGUUUUUGUUUUGAGACAGAAUCUCACUCUGUCACCCAGGAUGGAGUGCAGUGGCGU